CCUACGGGAGGCAGCAGUGGGGAAUUUUGGACAAUGGGCGCAAGCCUGAUCCAGCUAUUCCGCGUGUGGGAUGACGGCCUUCGGGUUGUAAACCACUUUUGUAGAGAACGAAAAGUCUGUUGAUAAUACCGAUAGAUGAUGACGGUACUCUAAGAAUAAGCACCGGCUAACUACGUGCCAGCAGCCGCGGUAAUACGUAGGGUGCGAGCGUUAAUCGGAAUUACUGGGCGUAAAGGGUGUGCAGGCGGUUUGGCAAGAUGGAUGUGAAAGCCCCGGGCUUAACCUGGGAAAGCCAUACAUGACUGCAAGACUAGAGUGCGUGAGAGGGGGGUGGAAUUCCAAGUGUAGCAGUGAAAUGCGUAGAUAUUUGGAAGAACACCGAUGGCGAAGGCAGCCCCCUGGGACGCAACUGACGCUCAUACACGAAAGCGUGGGGAGCGAACAGGAUUAGAUACCCGGGUAGUC
rnacentral:rRNA from 1 species